AGAGGCCAGACAGAUCUUAAUCUUAUCAAUUUGAAUUACAAAUUUAAAAUGACAUAUCAGUACAUGUGUUGCUUUAUUGCAGUAUUGGAAUGUGCAUUGACUCAAAGUACGAUAACUCACAAAAAUAGAAAACAGAUAAAGAUUUUACAAACAGAUUAUGAAAUCACUUUAUAAAAUAUGAUACUGUGCUAUAGGUUAAACUUUCCAACAUAAUGCAAAGUGAUUCAAAUGUGCUCCACAUCAGCUGGAACAUUGAAAUGCAUUAAAGCAUCAGUGAUAGAUUAUGUAUUCUAAUAUCUUGUUCUCACUGGACAACCUUUUGACACGGAGAACCCUGUUUUCUUUGUGUGCGGUCUACUUUUCUGCUGAUUUAUGCCCUCAGUUACCAUUCACACCCUUCACAGAUGGCAUGUGCCGAGAUAUGAGCAGUGAGGGUCGGAGCAGGGACACAUAUGGUGUGACUGAGUGGGAUGAUUCACUGACCCCAGUGCCUGUGAGCAAGGUAACUACAGAUCAUUUGGGAAAUGGACGGUUGAACUUUCCUCUAUAUUUACUUAUGAAAUAUCCUUGAACGCGGUUAUCAGACAGACAGAUAUGAAGCUCAGCAAGAGGAGAUGAAAUCAGGGCUGUAGUGAAACGUGACCAGAAUAGAUCUUUGGACAUUUUAAACCGCUUUCAUCCAGUAGGAAUCAUUUCUCUUAUGUUCUUUAUAAAAAUCCCAAAUAAUUAGAUGGAGUUAGAAAAGUGGAAGAAUAAAAGGAGAUUUUAAGAAAGUCAAGUCAGGAUAUCAGCACAUUUUUUGAAUAUGUUGUGCAUUUUAGUGUGUCAUCUUGACAGUUCUCUCUUGAUUUGUAAGAAAAGUUGCACAUGUUUGGUUCAGCUGUUGAGUAACUUUUUGAUGGUCCAAAGUCUAAAGUCUUGUCAUAAACGGAGAGAACUCAUCUAGUUGUAUCAUUAUUUCUCUGACAGGCCUGGUCAUGCAUAUCUGAUAAUGACUUGUCUUCAUAAAUCGAUUUGGGAUGAUAAAGGUUUCAAUAAAAUCUGCUCUAAACUGUCAAAUGUUUUGAACCGUCACCAACACCAACAGUUUGCUGGUAUAAUCAUUACAAACAGAGCAGGUUUCUACCAGCUGCAGACUGUUUGUGUCUGAGGUGACGGGUCGUCUUCACCUUGAGCCAUAACCUAUGAUAAAGCAUAUUGGUGGAUCUUUAACCGGUGGACCCAGCUUCAGCGGCAGAUGUUCAGAGGAUUGCGAAAGUGUGCAAAGCUCUGGACGAGGCAUUAGUGCAGGGGAAGUUGGUAUGCAUUCAUGCAAGUCCACUAUAGGCUGAUAUUCUCUCCAGGGGGCAACAGUCGACGCCUGCGCCGGGCAAAGGUUGAUUUCAGUCUGUUCUGCACUUGACAGCUACUGUCAAUCAGCUCUCUGCCAGGAGAAGCAACUACAAGAUGAGUGUCCAAGAGGAUUCGGUUAAGAGCAAUGGUGUCGCGGUCAUGGCUGAGAGCAGCUGUACUCAGAAGGCUAUGUCAGACACAGACUUAAAGAUUAACUCCACUCUGAACGGAAAAGCCAUCACAUCCGAGCUCAGCUCAACGUCCGAGCUGGAGGAAGCCACUGAAGGACUUUCACUAGGUGAGAGUCUAACUAAUCUGAUGCAUUUGUACAAUAUACUGCAUCACUAAUAGUGCUGUCUUUUAUUGUGAAAU